rnacentral:sRNA from 1 species
AUCCCCACCUUACACAGCCACUCCGAUUGACCACGAUUACGUCAAAUGUAAAAAACCCCACCAGCAGGCAACGCCGGACGGUACAGUCCCUGUUCUCCCUACUGCCAGCCCAGGGCGGCACAUCAAUCACGGGGGGGUGCUCGGACGACUCAUUUUGUCGCUUCGUUUUGACCGAAGCCAGGACAGCACAGCCGUAGCGCUCUCAGACUCUAGCUCGACGCAGGACUUCUUUAAUGAGCCCACCAGCUUACUGGAAGGCUCCAGGAAAUCCUACACAGAGAAGAGGCUGCCCAUUCUCAGUUCCCAAGCAGGAGCGACGGGUAAAGAUCUUCAGGGGGCCACAGAAGAAAGAGGAAAAAACGAGGAGUCAUUGGAGAGUACAGAAGGCUUCCGGGCUGCAGAGCAAGGUGUCCAGAAGCCUGCUGCAGAAACCCCAGCCUCUGCUUGCAUCCCUGGCAAGCCCUCAGCAUCCACACCCACCCUGUGGGAUGGGAAGAAGAGAGGGGACCUCCCAGGGGAGCCAGUGGCCUUCCCCCAGGGGCUGCCGGCUGGUGCUGAGGAGCAGCGGCAGUUUCUCACAGAGCAGUGCAUCG